CACACGAGUUGAGAACUAAAGCAAUGUGUCCAUGUUAUUCUUCUCGCAAAUCAUAGUGUAUACUUAAGCCAUGCUGAAGUGCACACCACUCAAGAGUUUCAACAAUAGUGAUCAAACCUUCAUUUCCAAUUUGUCCUCAUCUAUAACAAGCAGCUUACAGAAGAACUGUCUGUACUAUGUACAGUGUACACUUGCAUUACAGUUUCUAACUAAACUCUUGAAGUGGUAAUUUGAAGAGAAAAUGCUAAAUAACUAUUAUCCUUUCCAACAUAAUUUGGUCUUCAAACUCAAAGCGCAUAAAUUCGAUCAACCUCGGAAUUGGAGAACUCAGAAUGAUGCC
rnacentral:lncRNA from 1 species